CUUCUAUCAUUUUUCCCAGGGUUUCACCCCUGACAUUACCGUUACUGAUUUCGGUACCCUGGAUAUUGUAUAUAUGUUUAUUGGAACUAGGGAAAGGAAAGGGAACAUCAAAGUGGAGCGACAAAGGAUAUAAGAUGAACCAAUGCAUUAUCAAUACUUACAAAACUAUAUACUGUAAACCAACAGUACAAUCCAUGAGGGGGUGGAGAGGGAACUGGGGAGGAGGGGAGGUGGGAGAAAAUGAGGGAGAAGGUAA